GACGAACGCUGGCGGCGUGCCUAAUACAUGCAAGUCGAGCGGACAGAUGGGAGCUUGCUCCCUGAAGUCAGCGGCGGACGGGUGAGUAACACGUGGGCAACCUGCCUGUAAGACUGGGAUAACUCCGGGAAACCGGGGCUAAUACCGGAUAACUCUUUUCUUCACAUGAGGAAAAGCUGAAAGAUGGUUUCGGCUAUCACUUACAGAUGGGCCCGCGGCGCAUUAGCUGGUUGGUGAGGUAACGGCUCACCAAGGCCACGAUGCGUAGCCGACCUGAGAGGGUGAUCGGCCACACGUGGGGACUGAGACACGGCCCAGACUCCUACGGGAGCAGCAGUAGGAUCUCCGCAAUGGGCAAAGCCUGACGGAGCAACGCCGCGUGAGUGAUGAAGGGUUUCGCU
rnacentral:rRNA from 1 species